rnacentral:rRNA from 1 species
CCUACGGGAGGCAGCAGUAAGGAAUAUUGGUCAAUGGACGAAAGUCUGAACCAGCCAUGCCGCGUGAAGGAUUAAGGCCCUCUGGGUUGUAAACUUCUUUUAUCUGGGACGAAAAAAGGGUAUUCUUACUCACUUGACGGUACCAGAGGAAUAAGCACCGGCUAACUCCGUGCCAGCAGCCGCGGUAAUACGGAGGGUGCAAGCGUUAUCCGGAUUUACUGGGUUUAAAGGGUGCGUAGGUGGGCUUGUAAGUCAGUGGUGAAAUCUCCGGGCUUAACCCGGAAACUGCCAUUGAUACUAUAGGUCUUGAAUUAUCUGGAGGUAAGCGGAAUAUGUCAUGUAGCGGUGAAAUGCUUAGAUAUGACAUAGAACACCAAUUGCGAAGGCAGCUUACUACGGAUAUAUUGACACUGAGGCACGAAAGCGUGGGGAUCAAACAGGAUUAGAUACCCUGGUAGUCCACGCCCUAAACGAUGGAUACUCGACAUCAGCGAUACACUGUUGGUGUCUGAGCGAAAGCAUUAAGUAUCCCACCUGGGAAGUACGAUCGCAAGAUUGAAACUCAAAGGAAAUUGACGGCNGAGAGUGACGACGACGACGACGAGGGAGGAGG